UACAGAGGUCUCAAGCGUUGUUCGGAAUUACUGGGCGUAAAGGGUGCGCAGGCCGCGCGGGCAGUCAAAUGUGUAAUUCAGGGGCUCAACCCCUGCACUGCGUCUGAUACUUCCGCGCUCGAACCUUGGAGAGGAGUCUGGAAUUCUCGGUGUAGCAGUGAAAUGCGUGGAUAUCGAGAAGAACACUUAGGGCGAAAGCAAGACUCUGGACAAGUGUUGACGCUCAUGCACGAAGGCUAGGGUAGCGAACGGG
rnacentral:rRNA from 1 species